rnacentral:rRNA from 1 species
CCUUGGUGGUUUAGCGUUAGGAUAACACCCGUUCCCAUUCCGAACACGGCCGUAAAGACUAACUGCAGCAACAAUACUCGGACCGUAAGGUCCCGGGAAGAUAGCGUUCCGCCAAGGG